rnacentral:rRNA from 1 species
AACGCGAAGAACCUUACCUGGUCUUGACAUCCACGGAAGUUUUCAGAGAUGAGAAUGUGCCUUCGGGAACCGUGAGACAGGUGCUGCAUGGCUGUCGUCAGCUCGUGUUGUGAAAUGUUGGGUUAAGUCCCGCAACGAGCGCAACCCUUAUCCUUUGUUGCCAGCGGUCCGGCCGGGAACUCAAAGGAGACUGCCAGUGAUAAACUGGAGGAAGGUGGGGAUGACGUCAAGUCAUCAUGGCCCUUACGACCAGGGCUACACACGUGCUACAAUGGCGCAUACGAAGAGAAGCGACCUCGCGAGAGCAAGCGGACCUCAUAAAGUGCGUCGUAGUCCGGAUUGGAGUCUGCAACUCGACUCCAUGAAGUCGGAGUCGCUAGUAAUCGCAGAUCAGCAACGCUGCGGUGAAUACGUUCCCGGGUCUUGUACACACGC